rnacentral:tRNA from 4 species
GGCAGGGUAGCUCAGUUGGUGAGAGCGCACGACUCAUAAUCGUGAGGUCGCGGGUUCAAGCCCCGCUCCUGCUACCA